GGUGCGGUAGUUCAGCUGGUUAGAAUACUGGCCUGUCACGCCGGGGGUCGCGGGUUCAAAUCCCGUCCGCACCGCCACAU
rnacentral:tRNA from 1 species